rnacentral:rRNA from 1 species
CGCUGGCGGCGUGCUUAACACAUGCAAGUCGAACGAUGAAGCCUAGCUUGCUAGGUGGAUUAGUGGCGAACGGGUGAGUAAUACGUGAGUAACCUACCUUUAACUCUGGGAUAAGCCUGGGAAACUGGGUCUAAUACCGGAUACGACCAAUCUCCGCAUGGGGUGUUGGUGGAAAGCGUUAUGUAGUGGUUAUAGAUGGGCUCACGGCCUAUCAGCUUGUUGGUGAGGUAACGGCUCACCAAGGCGACGACGGGUAGCCGGCCUGAGAGGGUGACCGGCCACACUGGGACUGAGACACGGCCCAGACUCCUACGGGAGGCAGCAGUGGGGAAUAUUGCACAAUGGGCGCAAGCCUGAUGCAGCGACGCCGCGUGAGGGAUGACGGCCUUCGGGUUGUAAACCUCUGUUAGCAGGGAAGAAGAGAGAUUGACGGUACCUGCAGAGAAAGCGCCGGCUAACUACGUGCCAGCAGCCGCGGUAAUACGUAGGGCGCGAGCGUUGUCCGGAAUUAUUGGGCGUAAAGAGCUUGUAGGCGGUUUGUCGCGUCUGCUGUGAAGGCCGGGGCUUAACUCCGUGUAUUGCAGUGGGUACGGGCAGACUAGAGUGCAGUAGGGGAGACUGGAAUUCCUGGUGUAGCGGUGGAAUGCGCAGAUAUCAGGAGGAACACCGAUGGCGAAGGCAGGUCCCUGGGCUGUAACUGACGCUGAGAAGCGAAAGCAUGGGGAGCGAACAGGAUUAGAUACCCUGGUAGUCCAUGCCGUAAACGUUGGGCACUAGGUGUGGGGGACAUUCCACGUUUUCCGCGCCGUAGCUAACGCAUUAAGUGCCCCGCCUGGGGAGUACGGCCGCAAGGCUAAAACUCAAAGAAAUUGACGGGGGCCCGCACAAGCGGCGGAGCAUGCGGAUUAAUUCGAUGCAACGCGAAGAACCUUACCAAGGCUUGACAUAUACUGGACCGCAUCAGAGAUGGUGUUUCCCUUCGGGGCUGGUAUACAGGUGGUGCAUGGUUGUCGUCAGCUCGUGUCGUGAGAUGUUGGGUUAAGUCCCGCAACGAGCGCAACCCUCGUUCUAUGUUGCCAGCACGUUAUGGUGGGGACUCAUAGGAGACUGCCGGGGUCAACUCGGAGGAAGGUGGGGAUGACGUCAAAUCAUCAUGCCCCUUAUGUCUUGGGCUUCACGCAUGCUACAAUGGCCGGUACAGAGGGUUGCGAUACUGUGAGGUGGAGCUAAUCCCUAAAAGCCGGUCUCAGUUCGGAUUGGGGUCUGCAACUCGACCCUAUGAAGUCGGAGUCGCUAGUAAUCGCAGAUCAGCAACGCUGCGGUGAAUACGUUCCCGGGCCU